rnacentral:rRNA from 1 species
UACGAAGGGGGCUAGCGUUGCUCGGAAUUACUGGGCGUAAAGGGCGCGUAGGCGGAUAUUUAAGUCGGGGGUGAAAGCCCGGGGCUCAACCUCGGAAUUGCCUUCGAUACUGGAUAUCUUGAGUUCGGGAGAGGUGAGCGGAAUGCCGAGUGUAGAGGUGAAAUUCGUAGAUAUUCGGCGGAACACCAGUGGCGAAGGCGACUCACUGGCCCGAUACUGACGCUGAGGCGCGAAAGCGUGGGGAGCAAACAGG